AAGAUAUCUGUGGGGAACCAGAAAAGAUAAAAAGAUAUAAUAUUAAUAAAAAUAACAAACAUAUUUCAAAACAAUAUAAUAUUAUAACAAACAGCUAAUCAUUAGCAAAAAAUGUUAAUCAAAUAUUGAUAAAUUAAGAAAGAUAAUUAAUUAAAAAUAAAAAUAAACAUUUAUAAUUAUGUAUUUCAUACAUGAGGCAUACAUUGUUCAAAAACUCUAGUAAAAAACAUUCCAUAUUCACAUGAAUAUUUAUCAAAAAUAUUUAGUUAUUUAAAAUCAAUUUAUUCCCAAAUACAAUAUAAUAUUUGCAGAAUAAAUCAAUAUAUAGUUAUUUCAAAUCAAAUGAAUAACCACAUAAAAGUGAUUACCCAAUUAGAGUACCCAUCUGGAAUACAGAAACUGGUUAUCUAAGCAUUUAGCAAUAAAUACAAUUUUCAUGUGACAACAGAAAGUUUUUGAAUCAUUCACAAAAGUAAGUGUAAACAUCAGUGAAAACAAUUUGAUUAUUAUUAAUUCAUACUAUUCCCUAAUCAAGACAAUAAAUUUAAUAUGAAAAAUGUAAUAUAAAACUCCCAUGUAUGCAUGUAUGUACUUUAAAUUAAACUCAAAGAGUGCAAAAAAUAGAACUAACAAAUUUAAAAUACUAACGGCCAUCAUCCAGCAAAUCAGCACAUUGAGAAGGACUAUAGACCACCUCAGAAUCAUCCGGUCUUUACGAAGCAGCUUUUUGCAAAUCAUAUUAAGUCUGCUAGCAGCAGGAGAGUAGUGGUCAUUCAAAUAGACUCUUAAAUCAACAUCUCCAUCCACAAAAUCACGAACC